GGUUCCGCAGUGCUUGAGUGCGCGCUGGGUUGUUGGUGACCCAGUGGGCCAAAGAUGUGGCCCUGGCCGUCUCAAAGUAGGCGGUUACAGGCAGUGGGGCCGGUCGUCGAGGGAGGAGGAGCAGGGAGCCCUGGGCCCUCGUGCCCCAGCCUGUGCCCCUUCGAACUUGUAUUAGGUAUUAUAUCAGCAACUUCAUCGGAUCUGGGCAUCUAGAUUGUAGAUGUGGAUGGAAAACUUCCGAAUAACAAGAUCUGUCUUGGGGAGUUGCUUCCUGAGCUCCACAGCUUGCCUUCUACAGUUGCAGUCUCUGGUUGUCUUCUGCACAAAGACCUGCAGACCUGCAGAGCUGGGUCCCGGGAAACAGAAGGUUUCACAGCAGUAUAGAAAAACAGCUCACUGCUCAAGCUGAACAGAUGCUGCAAAGUGCAAGAAUUCCCUUCCCUCUUGAAAACCUGCUUACAAAGAUCAUGUAAGUCACUUGCAACUCCAAAAUUAC
rnacentral:lncRNA from 1 species